CUGGGAUGGAAGGAAAGAAAAGAAAGAGUAAAAAAUGAGAGAGGGGAUGGGAGAAGGAUCGACAAGAAAGGAAAGAAGGAGGAAAAAGUAGAAAAGCUCAACUUCAUAGGGAAUCCUCCUCGUCAAGUAUUAGAUUAUAUGCCCUGGACAAACCAAUGCUCUCCCAACUUUACAGAUGCCUAUUUUAACAUAUGAAACAAUUUGACCUUUUGGGUACGAAUGUUGAAAAGGCAUAUAUGGUAAUUGUCCUAUGUAUGAAAUAUCUAUUUAAGGUCUCCAUUUGUUUAACAUUAUCAGACCCGUUGCACAUGUCUGAAGUUGGAACGAAUAUAUAUGUAUAAAACCUGAAACGGAUGGAAUUGCUUCUUAUUAAGGAUACUGUAUGCAUAUAUAUAUAUAUAUAUAUGUGUAUGUAUUUAUUUA